rnacentral:rRNA from 1 species
CUCUUUACCGAGUGUCGAGGUAGGCCGACACUGUUUACUUUGAACAAAUUAGAGUGCUUAAAGCAGGCUCUUAAAUCAGCCUGAAUAGUGGUGCAUGGAAUAAUGGAAAAGGACCUUGGUUCUAUUUUGUUGGUUUCCGGAAUCCAAGGUAAUGAUCAAUAAGGACAGGCGGGGGCAUUCGUAUUGCGACGUUAGAGGUGAAAUUCUUGGAUCGUCGCAAGACGCACUAGAGCGAAAGCAUUUGCCAAGUAUGUCUUAAUUGAUCAAGAACGAAAGUUAGAGGCUCGAAGGCGAUCAGAUACCGCCCUAGUUCUAACCAUAAACGAUGCCAGCCAGCGAUCCGCCGACGUUCCUCCGAUGACUCGGCGGGGAGCUUUC